GACGAACGCUGGCGGCGUGCCUAAUACAUGCAAGUCGAGCGAAGUUUUUCUGGUGCUUGCACUAGAAAAACUUAGCGGCGAACGGGUGAGUAACACGUAAAGAACCUGCCUCAUAGACUGGGACAACUAUUGGAAACGAUAGCUAAUACCGGAUAACAGCAUUAACUGCAUGGUUGAUGUUUAAAAGUUGGUUUUGCUAACACUAUGAGAUGGCUUUGCGGUGCAUUAGCUAGUUGGUGGGGUAAAGGCCUACCAAGGCGACGAUGCAUAGCCGACCUGAGAGGGUGAUCGGCCACACUGGGACUGAGACACGGCCCAGACUCCUACGGGAGGCAGCAGUAGGGAAUCUUCCGCAAUGGGCGAAAGCCAGACGGAGCAACGCCGCGUGAGUGAAGAAGGAUUUCGGUUCGUAAAGCUCUGUUGUUAGGGAAGAAUGAUUGUGUAGUAACUAUACACAGUAGAGACGGUACCUAACCAGAAAGCCACGGCUAACUACGUG
rnacentral:rRNA from 1 species